AACGAACGCUGGCGGCAGGCCUAACACAUGCAAGUCGAACGCUCCGCAAGGGGAGUGGCGCACGGGUGAGUAACGCGUGGGAAUCUACCUAUUAGUAAGGAAUAACAGUUGGAAACGACUGCUAAUACCUUAUACGCCCUACGGGGGAACGAUUUAUCGCUAAUAGAUGAGCCCGCGUAAGAUUAGCUAGUUGGUGAGGUAAUGGCUCACCAAGGCUACGAUCUUUAGCUGGUCUGAGAGGAUGAUCAGCCACACUGGAACUGAGACACGGUCCAGACUACUACGGGAGGCAGCAGUGGGGAAUAUUGGACAAUGGGCGAAAGCCUGAUCCAGCCAUGCCGCGUGAAUGAUGAAGGCCUUAGGGUUGUAAAGUUCUUUCGCCGCCGAGGAUAAUGACGGUAAGCGGAUAAGAAGCCCCGGCUAACUUCGUGCCAGCCGCCGCAGUAA
rnacentral:rRNA from 1 species